rnacentral:rRNA from 1 species
UACGGAGGGUGCAAGCGUUAUCCGGAUUCACUGGGUUUAAAGGGUGCGUAGGUGGGUUUGUAAGUCAGUGGUGAAAUCUCCAAGCUUAACUUGGAACUGCCGUUGAUACUAUAAAUCUUGAAUGUUGUGGAGGUGAGCGGAAUAUGUCAUGUAGCGGUGAAAUGCUUAGAUAUGACAUAGAACACCAAUUGCGAAGGCAGCUCACUACACAAAGAUUGACACUGAGGCGCGAAAGCGUGGGGAGCAAACAGG